rnacentral:rRNA from 1 species
AUGUGGGACAUGCUGAGGAAGGAAAUUCAUGUCCUGGAUCCAUUGUGUGCACAAGUUGCUGGAGCUGAGCAACGUCAUAUGACCCAUCAGGAGGCUGUUUCACAGAUUCACACAGCAUUAUUCAGUUGUCUUAAUGAGUUCUUCACGAAAUGGCGUUGUUCAGCUGAGAAGUGGAAGCGCAAGUUCCCCAGAAUAACACAUGAUGUUUUCACAAGGUAG